rfam:Caprimulgus carolinensis contig105483, whole genome shotgun sequence.
CCAAAGGCUCUUUUCAGAGCCACCCACACUGUCAGAAAAGAGUUGU